ensembl:lncRNA
UCUCCCCCAGUCUCUCUUACUUUCCCAUGUCUCUCUCCCAGUCUCUCUCUCACUUCCCCAGUGUCUCUCUCACAGUCUCUCUCUUACUUUCAGUGUCUCUCUCCCAGUCUCUCUUACUUUUCCCAGUGUCUCUCUCCCAGUGUCUCUCUCCCAGUCUUUCUCUUACUUUCCCAGUGUCUCUCUCUCCCAAUAAUUCUCUCUCCUAGUCUCUUACUUUCCAGUGUCUCCCUCUCACUUCCCCAGUGUCUCUCUCUCUCCCAGUCUCUCUUACUUUCAGUGUCUCUCUCCCCAUUCUCUCUCUUACUUUCCCAGUGUCUCUCUCCCAGUGUCUUACUUUCCCAGUCUCUCGCUCACUUCCCCAGUGUGUCUCUCUUACUUUCCCAAUGUCUCUCUCUCACUUCCCCAGUGUCUCUCUCUCCCUGUCUGUCUCUCACUCCAGUCUCUCACUUUCCCAGCAUCUCUCCCUCCCAGUAUCUCUCUCCCCGUUUCUCUCUCUC